rnacentral:misc_RNA from 1 species
AAAGUCGUAACAAGGUUUCCGUAGGUGAACCUGCGGAAGGAUCAUUAAAAGUAAUAAGUGCUCCAAGCGCUCAUUAUGAAACCCAUCUGUGUAUUUUACCUGUUGCUUCCGUGGGGCGUUGGCUUCGGCCGCCUCCGAUGAGGGCGAGAGCCCAGACUCGGGGAGUACCCACGGGAGGUAUUAUUAAAACCAUUGCUUUCAAUGAUGUCUGUCUGAAUUGUCUCAAUGAGAAAAGUUAAAACUUUCAACAACGGAUCUCUUGGUUCUC